GUUUUUAUGUUGAUACAAGGUAACUCAAGGUAAUUUCUGUGACUCAACAAAGAGUGUGCUGGAGAAAAUCUCAUUUUUAUAUUAUUUUUAUAUUAUUUUUCCAGUUUUUCAUCAACACUGUAAAAUACCUUUGAGCCACAUUGGAAAGUUUUGAAAUGAGUCACACAAGUCACAAGGUGGGCAAUGAAUAUACAACAGGAUAUGUAAUAUUUUUUCUCUGUUUAUAAUGAAGGUCUGAUGCGGUCAUCUCCUGCAUGGCUAAAAGAAUGGAAUCUGGUGGAAUGGGCAAGAGCACUGGGAUACAUUAAGGAGUGAGACUUCUAUUUCAAGAGUUCGGUGUGUCUGAGAGCAGUCAAAUUGCAGUCUCUGCAGGAAACCAUGCAACAUAUGAGGCUUUGCCUUAUGUCAAGAUGAUCCG
ensembl:lncRNA